CCUACGGGUGGCAGCAGUGGGGAAUAUUGGACAAUGGGCGCAAGCCUGAUCCAGCCACGCCGCGUGAGUGAUGAAGGCCUUCGGGUUGUAAAGCUCUGUGGGUAGGGACGAAAACGGUCCGGAAGAAACGACGGAUCCUUGACGGUACCUACUUAGCAAGCACCGGCUAACUCUGUGCCAGCAGCCGCGGUAAUACAGAGGGUGCGAACGUUGCUCGGAAUUACUGGGCGUAAAGCGCGUGUAGGCGGAGCGCUAAGUCGGGCGUGAAAUCCCCAGGCUCAACCUGGGAACUGCGCUCGAAACUGGCGCUCUCGAGUAUCGGAGAGGGUGGCGGAAUUCCUGGUGUAGAGGUGAAAUUCGUAGAUAUCAGGAGGAACACCGGUGGCGAAGGCGGCCACCUGGACGAUUACUGACGCUGAGACGCGAAAGCGUGGGGAGCAAACAGGAUUAGAUACCCUUGUAGUC
rnacentral:rRNA from 1 species